CCCGUGGAAUCGGCCCCAGUCUUCUCAGCUUUAGCAGAUGAAGGAACACUGGAAGAAAAACCCACAACAGAGCAUCAAACAAGCUCGGGAGACCGGUUUGAUCCAGAGGAUUUCAACUGUGUUGUAAACCUUAUCCAGACGGAAAUCCGUCCAUCUAACAGACUUCUCCAGCUUGGACAGCGGGCUCUCGUCAACGUCAGUUUCCUCUUCCCGGUGUUCAUCGGAGGCCCUGCGCUCCAACAGGAAGCUCCUCUGAUGCUGCGCGUCUUCCUCCCGUCUCUGAAGGCUGGCUCUGCGCCCGCUUCCCUCGUCUUCUUCUUCCUCCUCGUCGGCGCCGAGUCUCAGCCUGUCCAUCUCAGUCUCCAUCACCAGGGACCUGUUUUCCUGCUCGUCCAGAGCUUCUCCAGCAGAGCUUUUCUUUGCCUUGUUGCGACCCCUGAGGUUCAGCUUCUGAAAUCAAACAAACAUGAGUGAAAGUUG